UACGGAGGAUGCAAGCGUUAUCCGGAAUGAUUGGGCGUAAAGCGUCUGCAGGUGGCAAUGUAAGUCUGCUGUCAAAGCGUCUGGCUCAACCAGAUAAAGGCAGUGGAAACUACAUAGCUAGAGUAAGGUAGGGGUAGAGGGAAUUCCUGGUGUAGCGGUGAAAUGCGUAGAGACCAGGAAGAACACCGGUGGCGAAAGCGCUCUGCUGGACCUUAACUGACACUGAGGGACGAAAGCUAGGGGAGCGAAUGGG
rnacentral:rRNA from 1 species